rnacentral:rRNA from 1 species
GACGAACGCUGGCGGCGUGCUUAACACAUGCAAGUCGAGCGAAUGGAUUAAGAGCUUGCUCUUAUGAAGUUAGCGGCGGACGGGUGAGUAACACGUGGGUAACCUGCCCAUAAGACUGGGAUAACUCCGGGAAACCGGGGCUAAUACCGGAUAACAUUUUGAACCGCAUGGUUCGAAAUUGAAAGGCGGCUUCGGCUGUCACUUAUGGAUGGACCCGCGUCGCAUUAGCUAGUUGGUGAGGUAACGGCUCACCAAGGCAACGAUGCGUAGCCGACCUGAGAGGGUGAUCGGCCACACUGGGACUGAGACACGGCCCAGACUCCUACGGGGGGCAGCAGUAGGGAAUCUUCCGCAAUGGACGAAAGUCUGACGGAGCAACGCCGCGUGAGUGAUGAAGGCUUUCGGGUCGUAAAACUCUGUUGUUAGGGAUGAACAAGUGCUAGUUGAAUAAGCUGGCACCUUGACGGUACCUAACCAGAAAGCCACGGCUAACUACGUGCCAGCAGCCGCGGUAA